AAUAAACUUCCCUAGCUAAGAGGCGUGCCCAAUCAUGCAAACCGACUUAGUUUAUAAACGUCUAUUACAUACUUUUAAAAGUUUUUCUGACUUUAUUUUGGUUUGUAUAUUUGUUUAAAGGUGUUUGUUUGCUGGUUUAUGAAACAAAUUGUCAACUGAUGCACUUGUCUUUAAGGAGUUUAUUUUAUUUGAGUCUUAAUUUAUCAACUCACCACAAAUCUAUUUUAAUGAAAACCCCUUGGUGUUGGUCGGGUCUCUGAAAUAUAAUGGUGGGAGAUACAUACCAUAAAAAUAUAGGAGAAAAUAGGAUAUUACCCCAAGGUAAAUCUUUUUUAUCAUAAUAUUUUACUAAAGGGAUAAUUCCAAGUGAAUUCAUAUUGAAUGUCAAAUUUAUAAGUUUAUAGUAUAUAAACUAGAUGCAAUCCAUAUAUGGCAGAUACGCUUCAUUUUACACCAAUAGUUUGACAUUUUGCAAUGUAUUUGGCUGUAUGUGUGGAAAGCUUUUUUUUUAAUUAUUAUAUUUUGUACUACGGCUGGUUAUAGAGUUAAUUAUCUGUUCAUUCAUUGUAUAACAUAUUGUCUAAACGAGAGGUGUAUAGCCAUUGCCUUCCAUUUCCCAGUACAUUUAUGGGCAUAUCCACACACAUAUAUAUAAACACACACACACACACACACUCACUGACAAACAUAUACAAUACAAUGUAUUUGGCUGUAUAUGUGGAAAUAUAUACAUACACACACAAACACACACACACUGACAUACGUAUAUACACUCACUGACACACAUACAUACUCAAACUCACAUAAACAAACUGUGCACAUAUUCAAUUAGACCUAUGCACACACAUAUACAGAGAAACAAAACUAACAAGUACACACUCACACAGAGAGUUGCACACAAUGCAAUGUAGACACAUCUGGUAAGUAGUAAGAGGGGAAUGAAGCCUCCCCUUGUCCACUGUUACACAGCCAAGUGAGCAGAAAAACAGAAGCCAAGUAGCCCUCCAGCCUCCUUUAAUGUCCUCGGCUCAUGAAGGCAGGUAAUUGCUGGGUUUAAAUUAAAAGUUGGCUUUGAUGUAACAAGAGUUAGCAUUGCCUCGUCACCCUCGUUCUCCUCAUGAAUCUCUCAUCUAGGGUCACUGACAGCAAGACUGCGUGUGUCUUUAUUAGAGAGGUGCCCUCUAGAGACAAUUAGCCCAUAGGCAGUUGCCUACUCUGUCUUUUGCUAUUUUGUUUUUCAAGACAUUAAGAUUUUAUUUAUUGUUUUUUCCACAGACCAAUGAUUCAGUUCAGAAUUAACUGCUAGAAGCACUCUGGACACACCAUUCUCUGACAUAUCUGCUUUACAUGGACAAUCAACAUUAUAUUUCUCAUUAUAAAAAUUACAUGGAGCAUUACCUGGUAUAGCCUCGACAUGUAGACCAUAAGGUGUACGUUUUCUUUAUGACUAUAAUAAAUGCCAUGAGCUUUGCAAACUGAUUAA
rnacentral:lncRNA from 1 species